UGAGGAACAUGACUUUCGGUGGGGGAGUAGCCGGCCCAACGGCCGGGUAAUACCGCGUACGACCUUUUGGGACAUCCCUGAUUGGUGAAAGCAGCAAUGCGCCGAAAGAGUGCCUCGCGGCCUAUCAGCUAGUUGGUGGGGUAAUGGCUCACCAAGGCAACGACGGGUAGCUGGUCUGAGAGGAUGGCCAGCCACAUUGGGACUGAGACACGGUCCAGACCUCCCGUACGGGGAGGNAG
rnacentral:rRNA from 1 species